rnacentral:rRNA from 1 species
UACGGAGGGUGCAAGCGUUAAUCGGAAUUACUGGGCGUAAAGCGCACGCAGGCGGUUAAUUAAGUUGGAUGUGAAAUCCCCGGGCUUAACCUGGGAACAGCAUUCAAGACUGGUUAGCUAGAGUCUCGUAGAGGGGGGUAGAAUUCCACGUGUAGCGGUGAAAUGCGUAGAGAUGUGGAGGAAUACCGGUGGCGAAGGCGGCCCCCUGGACGAAGACUGACGCUCAGGUGCGAAAGCGUGGGGAGCAAACAGG